GUGAGACACAGCCUUAAAACUGUUGCAGAUUCUCAGGCCAAAAAGAACUGUGAUCUGUUUGCUGUGAUUAUCAAUUAUGCUGUCUUUUUUUUUUUCCUUUCGGAUGAACCUUCCAAGUUGUAUUAGGUGUCAACGAAAUAUUAGUCACAACCUCAAAGUAGAGAGUUAUUUUAUUUGGUGGGAAUAUUUAGGACCCCAAGCCGGGGAGACAGCAUCUCAGUAGCUCUGAGAAAACUGCUUCAAGGAGGCAGGAGGGGGAGUCAGGCUGUAUACAAGUUUGCAACAAAGGGAGCAGUCAUUCUGAACAUCAAAGAUCAGAUAUCAAGUUAAGGAACUUAGUGUUCUAGGUAUGGGAAAAUGCCAGCCUUUGGACUCACUGAAUCCAUUCCUUUCAUUGCACUUCGGCUGUCUGGGGCCAAAUUCUGUUUCCUUGUUCACCUUAAGAAGUGGCAGCUGUGGCAGAUGGCUGAUUCGUGCAUUCCCCAGCUUCUCAGCAGUCACUGUGCGGGAUGGAGGCAUCUGCUGGAUCCCACUUUGAUUAAAAAGAAAACAAACUGCCAGCAACUCUAGUUCUAUUUUUCCCUGUGAGAACACUGUCAACCCACUGUGGAACUGAAUUCCAUAGGAUAAAGAAAUUUAAGUUGAUUUUAUGUGCCAUAAAGUUUAUGGAAAGAUUCUUCACAGGUUCUAUAGCUGUCAACGGAAAACUGUCACCUGCUACAACAGUAAACAACGGAUGUUACAGCCAUCAAGCCACUGCACACUCCAGCGGGGCACCCUGAGGGGACUCAGGAGGAGAAAGCUCCAGACACCUGCCCCAGAUGGCUGAGGGGCACAUCAAAGGAGUGACUUCUGUGAGCCCAGACUCUUGCAUCUUCCUGUACACAGAAAAGCACAAAAUUCCUUAUCUUGGGAUUUCCGGUUUUCUUUACUUAACAGUAAUCCCUUGAUGUUCUAACUACCUGAAAUUUGUUGCAAAAACUCUUAUGUGUCCUGGCUCCUCCCUUACCUCUUUGGCGCUGUUCCUUAGGGUAGUUGUCCCCAGCCUUUUGGGUCCCAGCGACUGAUUGUGUGGAAGACAAUUUUUCCAUGGCCUGGGGGCUGGGGGGGGUGGUUUCAGGAUGAUUCAGGUGCAUUAUAUUAUGUGUGCGAGUGUGCUACGUUGAUUUAGUUGUGUCCAACUCUUUGCAACCCCAUGGACUGUAGCCCACCAGGCUCCUCUGUCCAUGGGAUUCUAAGGCAAGGCUCCUGGAGUGGGUUGUCAUGCCCUCCUCCAGGGGAUUUUCCCGACCCAGGGAUUGAACCCGCAUCUCCUUCACUGUAGGCAAUUCUUUACCACUAGCGCCACCUGGAAAGCCUACAUGUAUCAUGCACUUAAUUUCUGUUAUCACAUCAGCUCCAUCUCAGAUCAUCAGGCAUUAGAUCCCAGAUGUUGAGGACCCCUGCCUUAGAGCUAUCUGAAAGGCUGCUUCUGGGGCUUAAGUCCUCAGCUUUGCUUGCUAAAUAAAACAGGUAUCUCAACUUUUAGGCCAUGUAUUUUUUUUUUUUUUUUCGGUUGACAUAGACUUCCUGCAAUGUGCCCACUGUGCCCAGGCAGGGGGCUAGUGGGAGAAUGAAGGAAAAAAUAAAGCGGAUCACAGGGCCCAAUCGUGCAGCCAAUCCAAAUUGCAUAACCCGACAGAUACUCACUGUUUUACAGGCAUAUGAAACAAUAAGCCUGCAUUUCCUGAGUAGGUCCUACCUCAUCUGUGUUGUGAUUAAAUCACAGACUGUCAUGGAUCUGAGAGUUCAGGGCAGUGAGGCUGGUGUUCAGUGGAAGCCCCUGAGUCUUUCAGCAGAGCUCUGCCAUGGAUGUCGGUCAUGGCACCAGCUCCUUAUGAACUAAA